AGUUGUCUACGUGACGGUGCUUGACUCCGACUUUUUAGCUAUCCUUUAGCAGAUUUGAAAGGAGAGUUGAAGGAUUUUUUCUUUUCUCUUUUCCUGCUGGAGAAUCCGCGCUUCACGAAUCCAUUGCAAAAUGGAAAGAGGAAGUCUUGUGGAGACUCGAUGAGUUUUUUCUGUGGAUGUAUGGUCAUUCGACUAACAUUUGAACUGAAAAAGUCAUUUAGUGGUAACAACA